rnacentral:tRNA from 1 species
UAUAUUUUAGUGUAUGAUGCACAUAAGUUUUUGAUACUUUUAGAGAUAGUUUGAUUCUAUUGAAUAUAA